CAACUUUACAUAAAUGCGAAUGAUAGUUUAAAAUAAAGUACGCAUUUAUUAUUCUCGUGAUUUAUUGAACGUGCUAAUAGAAAUUUAAUAUUAUUUAAUUAGAUUGCAAUUAAACAAUUAAUUUAUAAGCAUCCGCAAGUUUGUACUGGAGUUACAAAGAAUUGGUUGGAAAAAACAAGUAUGCGCAUCAAAAACAACAAUGUUGCCGCCUGUAACAGCUGCGGUAGCAAAACCUAUGGCGGCAACAACAAUGUUGAUAGCAGCGACGUCGACAAAGUCAUUUGCUACAAAGUAGAUGAAGAAAACAGAGGCACAGCAGUAGCAGCGAAAAGUAAAGAUGUAGAUUCCAAUUGAAGUACAUAGUUGUGAAAAAUUAAUGGAUACUUUGAAUUAAGGCUUUAAAAGUUGAAAAAAAGUAGCAAUUAAUGCAGCUUUAAGUUGAAUUUCAAGCAGGAUCCUCAGGUUUCUAAAAGUGGUUUUCAGCAGUUUCUCCAAUAUCCUCAUAUACAAAAUAACAAGCUUUUAGAGCAAUUUUCAGUAUUUGAUUCAAUGUUUUUGUAGCGUAAAUGUACAUUGGCAAAAAGGAAAUAUAAAAUGUUGAUUUUUUUAACUAAAACCUCAACUGUCCAUAGCUUAAAGGAAAAUAUCGGCAAUGUAAACACGGCUGUUGUAUAGUUAAACAAACUAUCUGAUAGCAUAUAAAGUUUUGCUGCAAUUGUUCUACAAGUCGCACAUUUGUGCGUGUAAUUGCGAUAUUUACCAAAAACCAUUUUUCGAAUGGUUUACACGUAUAGUUUUUCAUUACAAUGCCAUAAAAUCAGCCAAAGGUCAGGGAGCGUCAAAAAAAGGCAUAUACCAAACAAGUGUGUGGAUACAACAUAAGACGGGUGUGGUGUUCAUGCGGACCAAGUAUAUGCCGGUGUUAACAUUUUUCUACAUGCACACAUACAUUUUGCUGCGCUUAUAUACAAGCAGAAUGGCACAUACCGCGCAUGUAAUAACAUUACAAACCAACUAAAUGACAAAACAAAAGCAAAGCAAUGAGACUGCAAUGUUAGUAAUUUACAACAAAAAAUCGUAUUAAUGUUGUAGUAUAUAAACGUGAUUACAAAGCUACAGCAAUAGCGGAGAACAUAAGCAAAUAAGUAUAUUUUUUUUUGGUCGAACUUCUGGCCAAGAAACAGCUGAUCAGCAUUUGGUAGUGUUCAACGAAACAAUAAAAAAUAAUAAUAAACAACACCGGCGCUAAAUACAUGUAAAACUGUUAUAUACCGCGCAGGUUUUUUUUGUUUGUUUUGCAAACUAUAAGUAUAAAUAGAGAAGAGAACAAAGAGACGAAAUAAAAAAAAAAAUAUAACAAUAAUGACAACAUACGAGCGCACUGCAUGCAACAUGAGCAAUGGCAAUAGUAGUAGCAGCAGCAAUGAAAAGUUGCGCAGUAAUGGUAUGAACAACAGCAACAGCGCCUGCACGAGAGCCGAGGAACUAAGCCGUCAACACAGCAGCAACAGUAGCAGAAAUCUAUUGCAAUUCUUUACCAUUGUUUUCGUGUGUGCGGCAUGUUAUUGGAAUAGUGCGCAAUGUGAGUUGGUCUUCGAUGAUAUUAGCGCUGUGCGCGAUAAUAAGGACCUACGCUCCUAUACACCGCUACGGAAUAUUUUUCUCAACGAUUUCUGGGGCACACCAAUGCGCAAAGAGCAAUCGCAUAAAUCGUAUCGGCCGCUAACAGUGCUCACCUUUCGUUUCAACUAUUGGCUGCACGAGCUGCAACCAUAUGGCUAUCACAUAGUAAACGUGCUCUUACACAUUGUCGUCUGUCUGUUGUGGCGUCGUGUUUGCAGACUAUUACUAUUGCAAUGCGCCGGCGCUGUGGGAGCCACCGCGUUAGAGCAGCGUUGUAAUGAGUUGCGUGUAAACACUUGUAGCUUCUUGGCGGCACUGCUGUUCGCUGUACAUCCCAUACACACAGAAGCCGUUACAGGUGUAGUCGGACGUGCCGAAUUACUCUCAUCCAUAUUCUAUUUGAGUGCAUUUCUCGCAUAUGCCAUCGCUGUUAAUGCGCCAACACAGUCGCAGCAGCGUCGUCUACAGUCGUCACAACAGCAGCAGCGGGAGUCAGUUCGAAAGCAACACACACGCUGGCCGGUACUAUGUUGCAUUUUUGGCUCCUGCUUAUUAGCUUCGAUGCUGUGUAAGGAGCAAGGCAUCACUAUAGCGGGUAUUUGUGCCGCCUAUGAAAUGUUCGUGGUACAGCAGGUGCGCCCACUGCAGCUAUGGCUGUAUGUGCAGCGUUUAUUCGAGGAUCGUACGCGUAUCGUGACGCCGCAACAUGUCGCUAAAAGCUCCUCGCCAACGGCGGCAGCCAGUGCAUCGCCAACGGCCGGUGUACACAGUCGUAUUGGCGGCAUUUGGCACGGUACUUUGUUGCGUCGCUUGGGUUUUCUCGUCUGUAUUACGUUGGCACUGUUGGUGGGGCGUGUGUAUGUGAUGGGUUCGCAAUUGCCAGUCUUCACACGUUUCGAUAAUCCCGCAUCGGCAGCAGGGUCACCAACGCGUCAACUCACCUUUAGCUACCUGAUUUACUUGAAUUUGUGGCUGAUGCUGUUUCCAUGUAAUCUGUGCUGCGAUUGGACCAUGGGCACCAUACCGCUAAUCGAGGGCUUUAGUGACAUACGCAAUUUGGCCACCGUAGCAACAUUUGCCUCGCUGGCUGCCGUGACAUGGCACGCCUGUACCACACGUAAUUUAAUGCAUUCGCGCGUGGUGCUGAUGGGUCUCGCCUGGCUGGCGUUACCAUUCGUGCCCGCCUCGAAUCUCUUCUUUCCCGUUGGUUUCGUUAUUGCCGAGCGCAUACUGUACAUGCCCUCUAUGGGUUAUUGUCUGCUCGUCGCCUAUGGCUAUGUGCAAUUGGAACAUUAUCUGCGCCUUAAAACCGCAUUCGCGCGUCGUUUCUUGCAAUUGGCGCUUGGCUUGCUGUUGCUUACGCAUGCGUUGAAGACAUUUGAGCGUAACAAGGAUUGGCGUACCGAGUACACGCUAUUUAUGUCGGGCGUACAUGUGAAUGCGCGCAAUGCGAAGCUUUUCAAUAAUGUCGGUCAUGCGUUGGAAAAUGAGCAACGCUUUGCCGAGGCGCUUCUGUACUUCCAACAAGCUGUGCGCAUACAACCCGACGAUAUUGGCGCUCACAUCAAUGUCGGACGCACCUACAACAAUAUGCAGCAGUUCGAACAAGCCGAGUCGGCAUAUCGGCAAGCCAAAGCGCUGUUUCCGCAAGUCAAGCCGGGCGAGAGUUAUCAGGCGCGCGUUGCGCCGAAUCAUUUGAACGUAUUCAUCAAUUUAGCACAGUUGAUUGCGCGCAAUCGCACGCGCUUGGAAGAGGCCGAUCUGCUGUAUCGGCAGGCGAUAAGUAUGCGCGCCGACUAUGUACAGGCGUAUAUUAAUCGCGGUGACAUCUUGAUGAAAUUGAAUCGCACCGCGCAAGCACAAGAGGUCUACGAGAAGGCGCUGCUGUAUGACAGUGAGAAUGCGGAUAUCUACUAUAAUUUGGGUGUGGUCUUCUUAGAGCAGGGUAAAAGUGCGCAGGCGCACGUCUACUUCAACAAAGCAAUCGAACUGUAUCCCGAACACGAGCAAGCACUACUCAAUUCCGCCAUAUUGCUGCAGGAGCAUGGCGGCGCAGAGGCGCGUGAAUUGUCGCGCGUGCGCCUCUUCAAGGUGCUGGAUAAGGAUGCGAACAAUGAGAAGGUCUACUUCAAUUUGGGCAUGCUGGCCAUGGACGAAUCGAAUUUCGACGAAGCCGAACAGUUUUUUAAACGCGCCAUACACCUGCGUGCCGACUUUCGUAGUGCGCUCUUCAAUUUGGCACUACUACUGGCCGAUGCGAAUCGACCGUUGGACGCAGUACCGUACCUGAAUCAGCUAAUACGUCAUCAUCCCGCACAUAUAAAAGGUUUAAUACUACUCGGUGAUAUCUAUAUAAAUCACAUGAAGGAUUUGGAUGCGGCCGAACAAUGCUAUCGCAGUAUAUUACGCUAUGAGCCGCACAACAUACAGGGUUUACACAAUUUAUGUGUGGUCUUUGUGGAACGCAAGCGUUUGGCACGCGCCGACGCAUGUCUACGCUAUGCGCAUCAUUUGGCGCCCCACGAGGACUAUAUACUGCGUCAUUGGCAAAUUGUACAGCAACGCUUACAGAAGAUAACUAAGUUACCUGAAACAUCGCCGGAACGGCAAAUUGCCUAUGCUGAGUAUGAGCCUGAUGAGUUUAGGGUGUUGUCAACGAAAGUCGAACGAAAAUCGCACACCGUCGCUGGUGUGCAGGAAGACAACAAACAGCAACAACAACAACAACAACAUAGUGGUCGGUAGGAAUGAGUAGCGAAUAGUUGCAGUUAAGUGAGAGACUUAUUACGCUGAGUAAGUUGGACGAGUAUAUGCAUUCAAAAUGUGAAAUAACAGUUUAGCAAUUAAGUGAGCUCUUAUACAUACAUACAUACAUACAUAUAUAAAUAGAGAUAUUAACAUAUUUAUAAUAAUUGAAGGCAACUUACGUACGUACUUAAAUUGAAAUGUACGGCUUUUGUAUGGUGUAUGCGCUGUGUAUGAGUUAAGUUUAUCGAAGAAUAUAUAUUUACCCAUAUUUGCUAGUUGGAACAUAGGGCCUCAAUGGAAUAUGUCAGUGUUAAUAAGUAAACAAUUUCUAAUUUUGAAAUUUAAAAUUUUUUGUUGAUUAUUAGAGGUUAUGUUUAUCUAUAUCUGGGUACAUAUUAAUCUGUUAUACAUUCCAAUGUAUGUAUAUGUGUGUGUAUGUUUCAUAUAACUGGGUAGUUGUGUUUGGACUCGUUUCACAUUCCCAAAGGCACUAAUCCUUAGGCUUUAUAUAAACGAAAUAGUGCCGUGUGUGGCCGAUAACCGUUAUUGGCAGGAUUUCUAUAAAAUUGUGCGCACAAUGCUUAAUGUUUUCAAUUUUAAAUUAAGUUAAUUGUUUUUAUAUUUUUCUUAAUUUUAAAUGUUUCUAUUUUUUAUUAUUUUUCUAAUUUUUUUUAAUUUUAAUUUUAUUUUUUUUUAAUUUUUUUAUUUUUUUUUUAAUUUUUUUUUAUUUUUUUUUAAUUUUAUUUUAUUUUUUUUUUAAUUUAAUUUUUUUUAUUUUUUUUUUGUUUUCGGAAGUCUAGUGUUGCGUUUAAAGUUUUUCACGAAGAUACAAUUUUUACAGAUAAUUCUUUCAUUGUUGUAAAAAAACCAAUUACUAAUUAAUUGGUAUUACUAGGUUUUUAAAUGCUAAUUUUGUUUAGCUAUGUUUUAUUUAUAAAGUAAUUAUAAUUAAUUAUUUGCCUUAGUAAUUUUAUUCCUCUUCUGACCUCAGAAAUUGUCUCCUCUCUGGUUUUAUUCAACGAUACUGUUCUUUUACGUUUCAUAAGAUACCAGACGUUUUCAAUUAUAUUUAAAUCUGGACUUUGAGGUGGCCAGUCCAAAGUGGUAACACCAACAAUUUUUUUUUAUCAUAUUGGCUUUGUGGCAUGGGGCGUUAUCCUGUUGCAGAAUAGAACGCUCCUCCAGAACUCUAUUGGCUUAUGGACAUAUUCCUUUGCGAAAGCAAGUCUUUUGAACUUGUUUGCUUUUGUUAUAUAUGGUACUUCCUUGACUUUAUAAGUCUUAAAAUCACAUUCUUUUAAUCGUCGACGGACUGUGCGCUCGCUAAUUGGUGUUUUAGCUGUCAAUUAAAUUGAUCUGCUGCGGAUUGGGGCUUUAGAAAAACAUUUUUUUUUUUAAUUCCCGUACAAGGACUCGGUCUUCACUGAGAUCUGUUUUGCGCUUAGCACCUUUUUAAACUUUUUAAUUUGGUAGUGCGCAGUUUGACGCGACACUUUAAACUCAUUGGCAAUGUCUUUGACUGCUAUUCCAGGGUUAAACUUUGCUACCAUUGAGGACAGGCGCGGCGGUUCAUGUAAAUUUCGGAUGGGUAGAAUAAAUAAAAAAAAAAAAUAAAUUCAAAAAAAUUUAUGUAUUUAUUGCAAAAACAGUUUUUCUUUUUGUCUAUUUUGCUAUAAACUUAUCCAUUAACAAAUUUAAAUCUAAUUUUGAUGCUUCAUUUGCGUAAACGUGCAAAAUAGCCACAUUAUUUAACCUGUCCUGGAGCAUGGUUGAGAUUUUAAUCUUCGAAGGACAUAGAAACUCCUUUCGUUCGAACAUGAUGAUCCCGGAAUCGUUAUUAACAUUCGCACAAAGCGUAUAAAACCAGGUAUAAGCCCGUGACACCAUUCGAACUCCUUGCAAAAAUUUAAAAUUUCUUGGAACGUUUUGACACUUCUUUUUUGCCGUUUUACCAAUUGCCAAAACAUAUAUCUGUCGCUUAAAAGUCGUUCCUUGUCAAAAUCUUUUUCAUAAAAUUUAAGGACUUCAUCCACAUUUUCUGUUGCGCACAAUGUAAAUUGUUCCAAUAAUUUGAAAAAUUGAACAGAAUCAUUUUCGAAUCGACUUCUGAGUAACUCAAUCAGCUGGUCGUACACUUCAAAGAACUGUUUCCUAUAAUAUUCUUCAGGCGAUUUAAAUAUAUGGGCUUCGCUUGUGCCUUGCUCGAGCCGUUUACUUAUUUUGCGUUGACGAGGAAGCAUAGGGUCAUAGGUUCAAGUUCGACAGCGCCUUGCGUACUCUUUUUCCAAGCUUCUUCAAACUUGGUUUCACCAGAAGCUUCCAAAACUGCACGUACAGCAUUCACUUUUUUGUAGGAGUCAAUAACAUAAAGGUUUGGUUUUUGGAGUUCGGUUUUCAAUAUUUCGAUGCGAUUAAAAAUUUCGAAUAUCAUUGUUAAAAUAAAAAAGCAUUCGAACGAUGCCAUGAACUCAAAAACCCUAACGCUUUGGCUGACACAGAACUGUCUAUUUCUUUAUCCGUAGAUCGACAAAGAAAAAAAUUUAGCAAUACAGCGUAAUUCGCUCUAACAGCCUUUAGGGAUUUUACCCGUAACACCCAUCUGUAAUAAAGAAAAUAGUAAAAAUAAAAUAUAUUAAAAAAAAAUCAUUCACAAAUUUAUUUUGUCGUAUCUAGUCGGACAAUAGGCUGCAAGAGACGACAAAAGAAUGUCUUUCUUUAAUCUGUUUCAUUCUGAAAUUGUUUAAAUUGGUCCAAGCGUUUAGGAGAAUCUCGUACAAAGUUUAUUAGAUCUUUAAUUAUUCCAAUAAAUUUUCGAGCAAUAUUAAUUUUUUGUAGCGAAUCUUGAACAAUAAGGUUGAGGUUGUGUGCGUUACAGUGAACAAACAAAGCCCGAGGCUCUUCCUCACGAAUGCGUUUCUGUAGCCCAGAAAUCUUACUACUAACAUUUGAAGCACCAUCAUAGCAUUGACCUCUGAGUUUGGAAAGAGGUAAUUUAUAUUGCGCCAAUACUGCAUUAACUAGGUUAAAUAAAGUUUGGGACUUUGUGUCCGGUGUUGAAAAAAAAAAACCGACAAAAUAUUAACUGGCAUUCAAAUCGUCAGUGACAUAUCUUAGGCAAAUGGACACUUGCGACAUGUGCAGUUUCAUCUAAUAAAAUUGAGAAAAAUUCUGCGUUUUGUAUUUCUUCCAUAAUCGGGGUCAAAGUAGCAGUGGCCAUUAGAUCUAAGAUUUCCUUUUGAAUAUCGUGGUGAAACCAUUUGAAGCCAUCUCUUUUCAACCAAGAUUUUAGCUCUGGCACGUCUUUUGCUCGAGCAUUAAGAAUGGCCAAGAAAUUUGACUUUUUAUCAUCAUUAUGUCCUCUUAUAGGAAGACCUUGUUGUGCCAGAACUAACAAGGUACUAAAUAUUUUCUGGAGCGCAGUUCUAUUCUCCAUCAUCUGUUUCAGGUGUGCAGUUGAUAAUUUCUGUACAACAUUUGUAGUUGAAACACUCCUUAAAUUUUCAACGCUCUGCCCUAUCUGUAUGUAUGUAUGUGAUUGGCGUUGCAACCGUUUAGCCGGUUAUAGCCGAAUCGACGAUAAUGCGCCACCUCUCUCUCUCCUUCGCAGUUCGGCGCCAGUUGGAGAUCCCAAGUGUAACCAGGCCGCUCUCCACCUGGUCCUUCCAACGGAGUGGAGGCCUUCCCCUUCCUCGGCUUCCUCCGGCGGGUACUGCAUCGAACACUUUCAGGGCUGGAGGCUCGAAAAAUUCCGUGUGGGUACAACUACCCACCAUACCCACAGUAAACGCCGCCACUGCUCAUCCCAUAGAAUUAUUCCAGCUCCUCGCAAAACUUUUGCCAUUGCUGAAUUCCUCGAUAUGUUGCACGUUGGUGUUUCAACGACUUGGAUGUUCAACGGUAAUUUCAACGCAGAAUGUGCUGUUCGGCCGCCAUCAAGUAGAGUAGCAGCGAUGCCUGACGAAGCAAUUGCCAGCGCAAUUUUCUGCUGUGGCCGUAUAGUAGCAAUAAUCAAAGUGAUCAGAAACGUUUUCCCUGUACCACCGGGCGCAUCCAGAAAGUAGAAUCCACCGGCGUUAUUGUCAACUGCUCGUAUAAUCUUAUCAUAAGCAUUUUUCUGCUGAAUAUUCAAUUUGGAAAUGUUGGCUUGUAUGAAAGCACGCAAUUCAUUGCAAUCGUAUUGUUGUUCACGUUGAAGCUAAUGGUUAAGCAUAUCAAUCGCUGAACGAUUGGGCGCAGUUAUGCCAAGUUGCGCUAAUGCCUUAUUCGCAAUUGUAAGGCACAGAUCUUCAACCAAUAUCAAAGCAUCAUUAUACAUUUGUAAUGUAUAUAGCAAGUCUGCGUCCGAUGCUCGAUUACGCGCUAAAAUUAAUUAGUCCUCGGUCAUGCAGUCUUUGUACUUAUUCCACAGUUCUUGCGGAUUUGACGGAAGGCAUGUAGAUAUUAUUAUAGCGAAUAGUACGCGUGUUUGUUUUGGAUGAGAUGUGAGUGAUGCGUCAUGAAGUGCGGUGUCCCAAUGCAUAUCAUCUUCUAACAAAUGCAAUCGCUGACAUGCUUCACGAUACGUCGCACACAAAUGACCGUCAACAGUUUUCAAAUCAUCAAAUUAUCUUGGUCCGCGCACGUUGACUAAUAGCAGACGCAAAUAGAAACAUUCGGCGUUGUUCGGAUGGAUUGUGUAAAUGCGUCAUAUGGCAUUGGUUUUACGGACAUUUGGAUAACCGUCAACACGCUCCCCUUGCUUUCGUCUUUGAAAUGUUUUCGAUGAUGGAUUCCAAGUGAAAUAUUGUGGUAUUUCGGAAUAUAGCAAUGUUCUUGCAAAUUCAUCGUUUUCACACAACUCGAAAAAGGUAGAUAGUGUUGUCCCCGGUGGUCGUGUUGCGCUCUGUUGUACAUUGUCUGCAGUGAAAUAAACGCGUUGACCAUUUUCGAGAUGAACUGCCAAAUGAAGAACAACGGGAUGCCGGUCGUGUACUGUUACAACGUCGAAUAAUUGUGGGUCGUUUGCUUCAUCUGGAAUUUCCGCUGAGAUUACUUUAUCAAUCUGAUCUGGUCGUAUUUUGCGAACUUACCAAAUCAAGAUGUGAGCAUGCGGUAAUCCUCUUUUCUGCCAUUCGAUCGAGUACAUCCAGCAUCGAACUUCUCCAAAAAACACGAAGUUUCACAAUUAAAUCCAUCAUUGCCUUUUGCUUUUCCCUGAAUACACGUGCUGUUAAGUCGUGACGAUCAGUUGUUGAUUGACCGGGGAACAAAUGGCAUUUGAUGUCAUUCCACUUGGAUUGCACGUGAACGUUAUGAACAGAUCCGGUCUGCCGUAAUGGCGCACAUACGACAUCGCAUCUUGCGCAUACUCGUGCAUAUGGGGGGGACUGCCGAUGUAUGUGGCUGGCAAUAUUGUCAGACGUCCAAUGCUAUUCACAUUUGCAUCAUUCAUUACGGCAUCUCUCAAAUGGAUAUACUCUUUAGAACGCAAUUUCGGUUGGUUGAAUCGAAUAAAGUUGAAACGUUCGGUCUUGAUCUUCGCAUACAUGUCAACCAAAUACUGAUGGAAAAGCUUGCGACAUUUCAGGAUGUAAUUGUCUUCUUGCGGACGAAUCAUUAUUCUGCACGAAUAGAAGUUGGCACUGAGUUUUUUCAGUGUUUCUUGGCCUAUAAAUGAACAAUACACAAAAUAUUGAAUCGUAAGUAACAUUUCUUCUCCGAAAUUGUACUUUUUUACCAGUAGUUGGAUUUAUCAAUCGCAUAUUGAUGUGAUAGCCGUCAUAUCCUCUCCAGAAUAAUAUCGGAUACUGUAAUGCAUCAUAACUACGGUGCAGCUCGGAACAACGCUGAAGUUGUUCGUUUCUACGGUGCAGUACAAUAUCUCGCGAUUCAAACUGUUUGCCAACAAUGACGAUUGCCACCUCAUAGAUUGUUGGUGCGUUGAAUCGUCUGGCAUGCUGCCCCAUCGGCAUUUUGUCUGCUCUGAUGACGAUUCGAUGGUUAUCAGACGACAUGCGGUCCAAUGCGAUUUUGAACAAUCGAAUCAAUUCAUUGUGUUCAUGGAGAAAUCUUUGCAAAUUUGGUACGAUUUCUCGCCUUGUGCCGGUCGCAAUUUUACAUCGUUGAUUUAGUCAGUUUCAUUACCGAUGAAAUAUAUUUGCAAAAAUUGAUAGUCGGCAUCGGCAAAUGGUAUGAGCGAGCCUGCUCGAUGGUAUAUUUGUCCCUGAAUCUGUAGAAUAAAAAUGUUAAAUGUUUCACUGAAAAUUCCAUGCAAAGUAAUCACCUUGAACGUCGGCAUAAAUGGAUCUCUAAUGAUCUUUGUGGCACCAAAAGAAGUCAUUUGAAAGAAUGAAUUGUAUGCUUGUAUGUUCUGCAAGAAAUGCUUAGACGUCGGCGAUUCUCCAGUGAGCAAGGAAUGUAAUGGUUCUUGUGGCGGUUCCAAUGCAGGCAGUUUCACUUUGCCACUGGAGCAGCACAUGCCAGCUGUUUCUCCUCGUAACUUCGCUGCAUUGCAAUGCGUACAAAUAAUAUCCAUUGCUCCAAUGGCACCAUUCAGGCUGUAGUCGCAGUCAGGAUCGUAGUGAAAGCCAACAUGUUCCAUUUCAUCGCUAAGGCGGAGCGGAACUCGGCCUUAACGGUAAUUUGGCCGUUGAUUGUCGGCGAAUUCAGCUCUAAUCUUACUAAAGAAUCUUCUGGUAUACUAAAAACAUUAAAAUCAUCUACGUUUUCAACCCAUUGAAAAUUGCUCUGUGGAAGAUUGUGUGACAUAGCAUAACCAUAUAAAUUAUUAACAUCUUAAUAAAUUAUAAAAUUUGAAGGCUUAGUCACAUCGUAAUCACUUAAAUAUUUAUUGUUAGCAACUGAAUGCCGUUUACAACAUUGAACAAUACCUAAUACCGGACAAAAUAAAAUUAUGCAUGUUUUCAUCAGUAAACAAUUCUAAUUCUAUUCUAGUUAUUUUGAGCAUUGCAUCCCAAGAUAAUCCUGGAGAUGUAUAAUUUUGAAAUGGGUCUAGUCGAUAAAUUCCUUUACAUAAUUUUCUAAAGUUUUCAAAAAUGUCACUGAGGAGUAGCACAUCUACUUUUAGAUAUAAUAAUAAAUAAUCUUAUAAAUUGGAACAGUUGAAUGUUGUCCAAACAUUUUGAGCAUACUGAUAAUCUUCGAUACUACAUGAUUCAUUUGAUAAUUUAUUAAAGAAAUGUGAUCGAAGAGGUAAUUGUGUUUCGUUGAGACAUGUUUCUGAAUCUAAGUAGUCAUAUGGGAAAAUACCUUUACGUUUCAUUAAAUCAAAAUGGUGAUCGUUAGGGAAAAAAGUUUUUGUAAUUUCUAAAUCAUUGUUAUUUAAAUUCUUAGCUAAACUGUCUAAACUAGAAGGCAUGAAUCGAAAAGAAUCUACAAAGUUCAAUUGUAUCUUUAUCAUUAAGAUAUAUUCUCUUUGAUAUCGAAAUGUACAACUCUUUAUUUAAGGGAAUAAUAUUUAUAUUUCCCUUAACAGAUGACAAUUCUUUAAUAAAUAAAUGCCAAUCAUAUUUCGAUAAGUUAUGAAAAAAUAUUUGAAUAAAAUUUGCAAUCUGAUAUUCCAAAUUACAUUUUUUAUGUGACGAACCUCUAUAUUCACCAGUUAAAUGACAAUGGUCUGUUACCCUAUCACUUAAUAAAAGUUCCAUUCCACAAAUAUGACAAACUAUAUCCUCAUGUUGACGUCUAAGUUGGUCGAUAGUUAAUGGAUGCAUUCCAACUGUUUUACUCAAAUACUGGUGAUAAAUAUCUAAAACGUCAUCGAAAAUAUUAAAAAAAAAAAAAUGUUUUGGAACAUCAACACCGCUAUAUAUUUUGAAACGAUUAAGAUGAUUAUUAUAUGAGCACUUAAUAAAAUAACAAUAGGCAUAAGGAAUAUGUUCUUGCACACAUUGAGACCUAUUAGAAUUUUGAAUAUCUAUUGGUUUUAAAAUACAUUCGAAAUCUGCAUAUACAGUAAAUAGUACAUCUAUUUGCUUUUUGAUAUUUUCAAAUUUUAAUAUUUUUUUUCUGGUGCUCGCUAAUUUUUCUUCCUCAUAAAAAUGUAUUAGACAUGAAUUGCAAAAAUAUAAUUUGUGCUCAACUCUUAUAACUUGAGAACUAAGUACUCGUAAUCUACUUAAAUUUUUUAUCCAAACAUAAUGACUUUCAUUGAAAUCAUCACUAUAUAAAUAAAUUAGAUUAACAUGAUGUGAUUUUUCUUCCUUCGUUAAAUAAAAGGGUCCUACUAACAAAUUGUCUUCUAUACCAAACACAUUUACACUAAUAUUUGGAUUAUUUGCUUCAAAUAUUUUAAUAUCCUUUAUUUGUAAUGGAAAAUUUAAAUUUUCAAAAUUUAUUACUUUAUCAUUAUUUAAAAUGGAAUAAUGGAAUCUUGAAUAUUUCUAAUGUUAUAUGAAGAACACCUUUGUCUAUUUAAAGCAAUAUACAUCAUUGUUAGCAAUAUUUAUACAUGCUUUUUUAUCUACAAUUAUUUUUGGUAGUGGUAUAUAUAACGACCCUCUAAUUGGUUGAUAUUUAUUUAUAUUUACUUCUAGAUGAAUAAUUUCACUUAGACUCCAUUCUUCUUGAAAUGUGUUAUUUUUUUUCAAUUAAUUUAGCAAUUUUUUCUUUAAUUAUAUCAAAAACGUUACUGCACUCCAUAAAUGAUUCAGUCAUUACAGUUUGAUGUGACAUUAUGGUAAAUUCUUCAAUAUUUUCUUUUAUUUGAAUAUAUUUACAAAAUAGUUCAAAGUUUUUUUUUUUUUUUUUUUUUAUUUAUAAAAGCUUAUACAAAGUUAAUACUAUAUGUAUAACCUAAGGCAUGCAGCGCUAGCUACAAAGGCUAUCAGCUGUCCGUUGAAGAAUGUGUUGGUUUUAUAUUCUCCUCAAUAGAUCACAAUCUUUGAGAAAACGAUAGAUAAUUUUUAUAUUUUCUUCCGUAGCGUUGGAAAGGAGGGUAAUCGGAUCUGUGUUGAAGUGGCAAUCUCUCUUUUCUUUCAAAGUUGGGCAAAAUUCUAAUAUAUGAAGCACGGUUGUUGUUGAGUUACAGAACGGGCAGCAGAUGGUACUGUUUCUUCCGAGGAGGUGCGCAUGCGUCAGUAUAGUAUGUCCAAUCCGUAGGCGAAUGUAAGGUGUUAUAAAAUUGGUUGCUACUGUUGAUGGGUAUAGCGGUUUGAUUCUGGCUGUGUUAACUAUUGAGUAAUGGUGGUUAUAUGAGACCCAAUCGAUUGCCAAUUUAGAGAGCCUAUUUUGGUGUAUGAGUCGGUAUAAAUCAGAUUUCAUGAAGAAACUGAAUGUAAUUGUGGGCGUGUUGGAUGCAUUCUUUGCUAGUAAAUCAGCGUAAUUAUUUCCGGAUAAUCCAGUGUGGCUUGGGACCCACAUUAUCUUAAUUUUAUUUUCAUAUUUUAUAAGAUAUUCUCUAAUUGCAGUGAUGAUGUUAGUGUGGUUGUUGCAAUUUUUAAUGGCUUGGAAACAUGAUAAGCUGUCGGUGCAUAUGACAUAUUUUCCAGGGCUUUUUGUGGCAUGUAGAACAGCAUGUAAAAUCCCAGUGGCUUCAGCAAUGAAUAUCGAACAAAAGGGGAAAAGCAGUCCAUAUGAGAUUGGCUUUCCUUUCUCGCUAACGACCGCAAAAGAGAGUAUUCAUAAUUUCACAAAAUUCUGAUACAUAUAUCGCAUUAGGUGUGGUGGAUUUAGGCAAACGAGCUAGUUUAUCGAUAAACGUGUUUUUUGGAAUCAACCAUUGUGGAUGACGACGUUUAGGAAGUUUAGCAGGUUUUAAUGGUAAGCUGUUUAUUUUGGCAAAAGAGGAGCAUUUAUAUAUGGCUGACUCAAUUUUUGGAGGACGGAUCCGAGUUGAUGAUGAAGAAAAGGCAUCUUGAAGCACAUGGUUAGAACCAAGGAUGAUCUUCGGGUAUAAUUUGUAUGUGGUGUCUACCAUAUUAUCUAUCAGAGAGGGAAGACCGGAUUCUGCUAACAUAUUUUUGAUUGGUGACGUGGGGAAUGCUCGAAGCGAUCUUCUAACAGCGGAGUGAUACGGUGCGGCCAACAAUUUUAGGUGACUUUUUGAAUGAUGCCCAUAUAUUUCAAGAGCGUAAUUGAUGACGGAGAGUAUGAGUGCCUUGACAACAUUAAUUAGCAAAGACGGGCCAAUGAGCGAACGCUUGCAUGCUAGACUGGACAUAUUUUGGACAGGCGUUAGAGGAAGAAGGGUGAUCACCAUCGCAAUUAGCACAUUUGACUCUAGAGCAUUCAGUGGGAGGAGUAUGAUUUGGGGGAAGGUUGCAGAUAGCACAAGCUGGGGGCUUAUUACAUCGCUUAGCAGUAUGACCCAGCAACUGACAAAUCUUGCAGCGCAUGGGAUUAGGAUAGUACGGACGGACAUCGAGGGUACACCAGGCAACUUCAAUACGACUAGGUAAAGUAUAUUUAUCAAAAGUUAAUAAUAAAGCACCAGUAGGUACACGAUCACCAUUGUUUCUCUUGGUAAAUUUAUAAACUUCAGAUACACCUUGAUCUUUUAGACCAUCAAUUAUUUCGUCAUCAGCAAGCUGACAGAUAAAUGGAGCGUAGAUUGUACCCUUUACUGAGUUCAGAGAGUUGUGAAGAGAUACCUCAACAGCACCAGCUCCGGGAAGAUGUUUGGUUUGUAAAAAUUUGUCAGCGAUUUUUUGGUUCUUGACCAAAAGUAGUAGGCUGCCGUCACGAAGCGGUGUGAUUUUGUUAAUUUCCUUACUUAUUGCCUGAAUGCCUUUAUGUACUGCAAAGCAAGAAGUGGAUGCAAUAGGUUUUUUGGCGUCCUGUGAUUUGAUUAUGAGGUACUUGGGAUCGUCCUUCUUAGAAAUAGGUAAUUCCGGAAAGAAUUCCAGCGUUGAAUUUUCUGGCUUUUUCCUUUUGUUUUUAGGACCCGGGGAUAAUAGUGCAAACCUAUUAUUCCCCAGACUGUUGGCCCCCGGGGGCAUAGCGAAAGAAUAUACGUUCUUGCCCGAUUAAAUUGUGAAUUUAGCUUUAUAAUGGAAAACUUUUUAUAAAGACACGUGGAAAGUGUAACGAAUAGAAGCUCAAAAUGUCAAAUCUAGGUUAAAUUGCGCGUACACCAAGUAACGAGAAGUUAAGCAGCGAGUAGGUAUAAACGAUUUUACCCGUAUAAACGUGUUGACACUAUGAGCGACGGCGUUUUUGGUAGUUCAAAGUUAAAUUUGAUGCUUUCAUGCUUCUCUAUAGAUUUUUGUAAAAGCUCAGAUAAUUCAUUUAGAUGUUUUUCAAAAAAAUGUUCAACAAUUUAAUCAUUAGGUUGAUUGUUUUCUAAAACGUAUGUUUCAAUACGAUUAGUAAACAUAGCAUUAAUACAUUUAAUAUUAUUACAAUUCUUUUUAUGUAUGUUUGUUCUCACAUGUGCUGUCCAUAAAUUUUCUUUUACUUGAAUUUUACAUUGCUCACAAAAAGUUUUUUUUUUUGAAUCUUGAUAUUGCAUUGUAAUAUGUUUUUUUUUGUUUUUUUUCUAUAUGAAAUUCAAAUAAGGGUGAAGUAAAUUUUUCACUAGGUUUAACUAGUUCUAUAUAAAAUGUAUUACUAUUUAACACAUCAAUAGUUGAAUCCUCUAAAGCGUUGUAGGAAUCUGGAAGAAAAUGAACACUUUCAUCUAGUUCUAUCAUCACCUUCUUCCUAAACUUUGCCUACACCCUAAUAGCUUUUAUUAUUUUGAAUUUUUUAUGAAUUUGCAUAUCUAUUGCCUUCAGUAUUGGUUUUCGGACUCUUUCCUUUGAAACCGAUUUCAAGUCUUUAAUAGUUUGAUUCAUAAUUUAGACUUAAUUUGUAUCCUUAAGUGGACAAAGUAGAAAAGUAGCGUUGUAUAAAUACUUUAGCUUAUUACACUUUGGUGAUUGGAUUAAUUUUAGAUCCUUCCAUGGAACAACUGCUUCAAAAAAUAUCGCACGGGAAACAAGAGUCACUUCACAAAAUUCACUAAAUGUUUUCACUGAAAAGGUGUCCAUUUUAUAUUCAUUGACAUUAAUGCAUAUAUAUCAAUAAAUUUUUCUUAAAUAUUUUGCGGUUUUAUAGUUCUACAAACCGCAAGUUUCACACUUCUACUAGUUUUUAGAUCCUUGUAUGGAACAACUGCUUCAAACAAUAUCGCACGGGAAACAAGAGUCACUUCACAAAAUUCACUAAAUGUUUUCACUGAAAAGGUGUCUAUUUUAUAUUCAUUGACAUUAAUGUAUAUAUAUCAAUACAUUUUUCUUAAUGUAUACAUAUAUAUAUAUAUAUAUAUAUAUAUAUAUAUAGAGUAAGUUUGGCAUAUAUGGACCACCCUUAACGUUUUUGUUAAUAAAACUGCGGUUUCUACGAUUUUUCAUUUAUUUGUUUUUUUAAAAAGCUUUAAAAAUCACAUCAAUUCAGUCUGUAAUUAACAAUAGUAAAAAAAUAACACAAAUAAAAAAUAUAAUUGAAAAAUGAAAGGAACCUCAAUUUAGCACUUUAAAAAAUGUGCGUUUAAUAUGGACCUUGAUGUGUUUAAUAUGGUCCAUAUUUAACAUCAUUUAAGAGCUGCAAAAAUCACAGAUGAAGUAUGUUUUUUCGUUUCCAGAACAUAGUUCAUGUGCCCACAUUGUACAUAUAACACAUUGCAUCCAUGGUUCUCCUCCUUUAUCAUCAGAAAAUAGACCGGCACAAUAGAUGCAUUUUGCGUCUUGAGGCUUUAUGUAUGACCUUGAUUGCAUACCUGAGGACGUAGAAGGUUCGAAAGAAAUCGGUUCUUCGAAAUUAGAACGGUAUUCCGAUUGCAAAAUUUCAGAAGUUUGUACAGUUGGUAUUGAGGACGGAACUGUAUUCACCAUGCUUUCUACCGGUGCGUCAAUUUCUUCUGCAGCUAAAAAGUCGUGAUCGCUAAAAAUAUUCCUGUUGAAGAGGUAUAUUCCGGUUGAAGAAAACCCUUUGACAGCAAUUUCUCCAGUUUGCGUUUUCAAACUGUUCAAAUCGAUCAAAUAAUUCAAUAAUGUCAAAAUGUGUCAAUGCUUUUGCAUUAUUUAUCACCCAACACCUUAUUUCCUCGGUCAAAUAUUUUUUCAACGGCCCCAUAAAAGUUUUGUCAAGAGGUUGAAUUUUAUGGCUUGAAUGCGGAGGAAUUGAAAGAAUGCGAACGUGGUCGUUUCUAGUUAGCUCUAUGAUAUCAAUAUUUCUUGUAUGACUGGCAUGUCCGUCUAAAAUGAGCAACACAGGUGAUGAUUCAGAAGGUUUUACUGUAGCAAGGAAGUGCUUGAACCAUUUAGUAAACAAAUUGAUUUGAACCCAUCCAGAGGGAUGAUUAGCAUGUAUCGAUCCCGGAGGUGCUCCUUUCAUAAGAAGAAGAUUUUCCCUGCUUCUAGGGGAAAUGAACAUUGGUAGUACGAAUGAUCCACAUGCACUCAAGUGAAGUAUUUGCUACAAGAAUAUGGAACAAGAAUUGCGUUAAAAAAAGUCAAAAAUUGGCACUUUGAAAAACGUGCGGGUAAUUUGGUAUACAUGGUUCGUUUAAUAUGGUAUACUAUACCAUAUUACCCUACCAAUAUUACGGCUAUAUAUAAACGAAAAAGAUAGUUAUCUAGUAAAACAAAUGAUUAGUUAUAGUGAAUUUUUUAUUAAAAAAUUUAAAUAAAAUUAACAAUAUAGCCUCCUUGGCACCGAAUUUAUGUCGAAAAAACCUUUUAGGCUAACGAAAAAACCAAAUUCAUUCUAAAAAAAAAAUGUAUAAAAAAUUUCGUGUUAAAUUACACUUGUUAAUGAGCGAAAAAGCAUUUCUUAGCUUAGAUGCAAGAGUGGCAAAGAAAUAUGGCACUUCUUUUCGGAAUGCAGUUAUCGUGAGCCCAGAUUAUUUCGCAUUGUAAACACGAGGUCCAUGUUUGAUCUUCUGUGUCGUCUUCCUAGCACCCAUUACAGAAAUUGCACAAACUUUUUUUUGAGGGAGAGGCGUCAGGGAACUCUUCCUUUCCAUCGGAUUCAUCUAAACAUACGCUUUGAUACGAGUCAGUAGUAGACUUACGCCGUUGUUUUUUGCUAGCACAUGUUUUCUUCUUUUCGACUGGCUUCAAUGUCUUAGACUUACGUUUGUCUACUUUAAUCAAGCUUUGUUGUAGCUCUGCUUUAUACGGAGAUGUGGUCAAAACUGUCGGCUUAGAUUUCCUACCUCUAUUGCUUACGGUUCUUUGUAUUUUUGGCGGAGGAGAAAUCUCCCAAGGUAUGUUUUUUAGCUUCAUUCAAAGUAACAUCACAUGUGGAAAAAUUAAAUACUGAAUGAAUGCUUAUAGAAAAAAAUAUAGAUAUAUAAUUCUCACCAGCAUUUGCAACAUUGGCAGAACCUGAUGAUGGAAAGAUACGUGGUGAUAAUCCAGUGCUUGUACUGGCCACGGAAUCUUCGACUGCAGGCAGUGAACCUCUAGAUUCAGGUAUAGCUCUAUCCUUAUCUACAUCCUGGACUGAAAUGCAAUCAGUUUGCUCAUUUUCCAUUUCGCAUGCUAUGAAAUCAGCUUCCGAAAAAAUCUGUUUGUCCAACGGAAAAAUUCCAGUACUUCUGAAUCCACUGCUAUUUGGCCAGUUUGAACGCGCAAAUAAGCUUUUGUGAACAGUCCAACCAAAUCAUAUAGAGUUACCUUCCGUCCUUGAUCGCGUGUAAAAGGCCUUACUUCGUCACUAUAGUAUACCUUAAGUGGACCCAUGAAAGUUUUGUCCAAUGGCUGCAAUUUGUGUGUAGAGUGUGGAGGCAAGGAGAGAAUAACAACUCCAUUUUUACGGGCUAAGUCCAAUAAUUCAAUAUUUCUCGUGUGACUAUAAUGCCCAUCUAAAAUGAGUAAAAUGGGUUGAUGUUUGCUUGGCUUUGUGAACUCUAAAAAAUUUUAAACCAUUCUGUAAAAAUUGGUAUUUGCACCCAUCCAGAAAGAUGACACGACGAUUUUGCUCCAGGUGGUGCAUCCUUCAUAAGGAGUGGAUGAUUGUUUUUCCUUGGGAAAAUAAAAUAUGGCGGCACGAAGGAGCCACCAGCGCUCAUGCACGUUAUAACAAUGAGGGAUCCGCGCUCUGCGGAAGUCAUAACGCCUAUUUGCCUUUUUCAUUUUUGUGCGACUACUUUUGGUUGUCGAGACUGCACCACUGACAAUCCUGUUUCGUCUACAUUCCAAAUUCUUGUCGCUGAAAAAUUGUGUUUGAUAUAUUCACUUUCCAAUAAGUUGAAAAACGAAGCCACAUUUUCACGAUUAAAUCCCUUUGCUCUAUCAAACGAUGUACCAGUUGGCGAUCGAAAGCUUAAUUUUUCUCUAUGUCUUUUGCAAAAUGCGUAAAGCCAGUCUUUUCUUGCACAUUUUUGCAAAGUAUUAAAUUUGUUCGGUAUGUCGUUUCUUGUUGCAAUUUGGAAUGCAAGCGACCUCAACUCUCAUCUCGUUAGCCCCCAAAAGCGAGACUCCAUCUCCAAAGCGUAUUUAACUAUAUCGCUUUCCAUCUCUGGGGUAAAGACUGGUUUUUGUCCGAGUUUUGCUGAAAGAAGCUCCUCUGUAGGCUUUUCACUUCUAGCCAUGUGCUGCAGUGUGGUGUGCGGAACACCGAAGACUUUUGCGGCCAGUAAAAUACCCAUUUCAUCGUUUCUUACAGCGGCAAUGGCCUUGCGCAUGUUUUCGCUACUCCACUGCCUUCGUAAACCUUUAUUCGGCAUGAUUGCUGUAAGAUUCCACCAUUAAAUUUAAGCAAUAACCUAUUGAUAAUACAGAAGGGUAAUAUGGUACACUAUACCAUAUUGGCCGGUCACAAGUGUACCAUAUUAGACGCUUUUUUUAGUUUUCUGUUCUUUUAAUUUUUUUUUUAUGACCAAACCUUUAUUUAGCUUAAAACUCACCUUUUUAUAAUGAAAUAUGGACUUUAUUUUAUCGAUUAACAAUAUAUUUGUUUUGAUAAGUUUGUUGCUACCACGUGAAAAAACCGUUUUUGCUACACUAUCUUAACAAGUCAGACAUGCGAAACCACGUGUUUUUAACAACUGAGAGAGAACUGAAAAGCUGUCAGUUUUGUAAUUUUUUUUCUAUUACUCUUUAUUUAUUUAACAGCUGAUUUCGAAGUCGGCGUUGCCAUAGCGCAAGUAGUUUAAGAGAAAAGCAGGUGUGCCAUAUUAGCCGUCUAUACCAUAAUACCCGAAGUUACUCUACUUGUUCGGAAUCCUUUUCCAAUUCCUGUCCCAAAUGAUCGUCCUGAUCGUUUUCGGACAUUAUUGGAGAUUAGUCGUCCACAAUAACGGGUUUCCGUAUUGUUACCUUCUUCGUCGGAGGAGCCAUUUGUUGAAUAAUUAUAAGAGCACUCACUAUCACUGCUUGAAGUCAUUUAACUAAAUAAUAUGAAUUGAAAAUUUCUUUAUAUAGCAAAUUACAAGCAAAAAUAUGUAACAAAUAUGCACGGUAAAAAUAAUAAAACAUUUGAACGACGACGAAUCGGGCAGCUCAGUCAGCAGAAGCAGCGCAGCAAUUUUCUUUUCGACAGCUAUUGGCCGAAGGCCAUGAUUAAGCUAAGCCAUGAAAACGGAAAAUACUUAUUAUCCUGGUUUCCUGGAUGUAGUCCUUACGACAUUUAUUUUCCUGGUUUUGUGGAUGUAGUCCUUACGACACUUAUUUUCCUGGUUUUCUGGAUGUAGUCCUCACGAUACUUAUUAUCCUGGUUUCCUGGAUGAAGUCCUUACAAUACUUAUUAUCCUGGUUUCCUGGAUGUAGUUCUUACGACACUUAUUUUCCUGGUUUCCUGGAUGUAGUUCUUACGACACUUAUUUUCCUGGUUUUCUGGAUGUAGUUCUUACGACACUUAUUUUCCUGGUUUUCUGGAUGUAGUCCAUACGACACUUAUUUUCCUGGUUUUCUGGAUGUAGUCCAUUAGAACAUCUGCACACUUGCCACUUUUACUUUUGAAAUGAUUUAGUAGACUUAACGAACUGAAAUAACUGAAAAGUUUUACUUGGCCUUUUAUUUGAUUUCUUUGGAUUUGUCGGCAAAGCAUCAAAUAUCAUAAUUGUAGACGAGUUCCUCUUGAUUAUUGGUCUGUGUUCAAUUAAAUGGAAUUCGGUUUUUUUUAUGUUGUUUAUAGUGGUAGAGGUCAAGUUCAUCGAUGCACUCUUGUCGCGAGUCGCGAUAAUCCACGUCGAAAGUUGUGAAAAAUGAUCGCACGAAAAUGUUCACGAGUUAAUUCCAUUUUUGGCCGAGAUGAAUUUUUUAAUUUAAUUUCUGGCCUAGGCAACACUAAAUUGUAUAAUAUAUAUAUAGCAGCCCUCGUACAUAAAAAGCAUAUAGCUGAACUGUUCUCAGUUCACAUUUAGCUGACACAGGGUUGUAUUUUCUGAUUCCUAUUCUUUAUGCUGCGUCAAAUGGUGAGAGGAUGCUCUAAAUGCUGAUGAUAAAGUCGUGUUGUUUGUUUUCUAGAGAGACGAGGCAAAUAGUUUAAUACUGACUAUAAAUUCGUAAGCCUCCCCAGAAUCUGGGUCUGAGUGGAAUCUGUACCAUAAUAGAUGAAGCUUAUUUUAGUUAGUGAACGUUUGUAUUUAUUGAAUUAAUAUGCACAUAAAGAGUCACUUAAAGUUAAUUGAUUAAACAAAUUCACAAAGUUUAUUAGAUAUUAUUAACAUCACGACCUGACUGUACUGCUAGCGGUUGAUGCCGCUGUCUUGCCUAGAUCAACUCUACUCGUCAACUAUACAACUUUCGUUUUUUGUAAAAAUGGUAUCGAUUCUCAAUUAAUUUCAUUUGAAACCUUUCGCCAUGCUCGUCACUUUCGUCUCCGAGAUUUGCCGGAAAAAAAACUUAAAUAGGAAUGCAGAAAAUGAAUUUUUAAAGACAUAUUUACGCCUGGAGAAAAAUGAAAAUGUAAAUAAGUAAAUUAUAAAAUUUUAUAUAAUUCAAUUAAAUAAGUUUUGAAUAAUCACCCAUUUCUGCAUAAUUUUUGAUUAAGUCGCUCACUAUCUUCUCGUAGUUUGGACUUUUGUGUUUACCGAGAAAAGAAGAAACGACCAUUUCGUAGGAAUCCCACGCUGCUGCCUCAACUGGUGACAAUAGUCCUUUGAAUUGGUCAUUAUUUAUCAACUUUUUUAUUUGGGGUCCAACAAAUAUACCUUCUUUUAUCUUGGCCUGGGAAAUAUUUGGGAAAAAAGUUUGCAAAUAAUUGAAUGCUUUGCCUUCUUUGUCCAACGCCUUAACAAAAUUUUUAAUGAGGCCGAGCUUGAUGUGCAAUGGCGGAAGAAUGAUUUUUUCCUUCUUUACAAGUGGGACGUAUUUGAUAUUAUCCACACCAAUUGUAAAUUCAAUUCCGGUUUAUCAAUAUCAAUAUCAAUAUUUUUAGGAUCAAUACCAAAAUAUUUUGAAUAUAUAGAUUGGAUGGAAUCUCUAAACUACCUCCGAUGCCGUACAAGAGUAUAUUCACCGCAUAUGUAACAGAACAUAUCCGGAUCGUUGGUACACUCAAAUUCUCGCGUACGUUUACUCAUUUUAUUUAAAAAAAAUAGCUCACGGUUUUUUAUAUUGUAAUUAUAAACUGGAACCGGCGAGCCUUACAGAUAUUAUGAACUUUCAAGGGGCAUUUAUCCUUAUAUAUAGCUUGAUCGCGAAAAAAUAAAAAAAGGCAAAACCUACCUAAACAAAAAAAGUUCCUUCAUAUUAACGAGCCGGGAAAAGAAAAUACUAAUUAAUGAAUUUACCAAGAUAUUGGUUGUGUGCAUGUAGGUAUGCAUGUUUGAAUUAAAUUUAUUUGCAUUAGGAAUUUUCCGCAACUAAUUACGGGUUAGUUCGUAAACGCAGUAACUUGGUUGCACUGCAUAUUUGCACGGGCAACGCGUUCGUCAAAAAAAAAAAAACUGCGGCAAUACUGCUCUUCGUCAAAAGUUUUUAAUGCAUGCAGUUGGCAGCACUUCGGUAAAUUGUCACAGCCAUUGCAGUAAUUUUUUUGAAACUGCGUAAAACCAAAGGCGAAAUGGAAGAGUGAGUAAAAUGAUUUCAAAUUCUACAUAUGUCUUUAAUUAUUAACAAUACAUCCUCUGGAUAGUUUUUUAUUAUACUCAGGUAAUUGCUCACUUUUGGUACGGACCGCCUUUUCUUUUUUAAAUAACUUUUUAGUAAAAGAUUUAUUCUCUUCACUUGUUUAAUCCUUUUUUUAUUGAAAUUCAAUAAAAUAUUCUCACUCUGAGUUUCCUGGUUAUCAAUAAUUACGUUAAUUAAAAAUUCCAUUUCUCUGGCAUUCGUAAAUGCGAAAAAAUUCUUCGCAGCACAAUCGCAAUGGCAAGGCAGUAGAAUCAGCUGAUUGUGCAGUAGAAACCACAGCCGGCAAGAAUGCAGCAGGGUUGCACAAAAUUAGUGCGUUUACGAACUAACCCUACCCUUCGAAAAACUACCUGUAUACCUAUAUUUAGAGUUGCUAGUUGGAAGUAAUCACUACUACAAACUUAACUGAAUUAAGUUAGUCCUUUACAACUCCAAGUACUGCGAUCGUACAGUCAUUCAAAUGCUUAGUCGUACUUUUGCAGAAAACGGCAGUGGGAUAAAAUAUUAAUUUUCAUAGUCGAAAAUACAAGGGUUUAAAGGUUGAACGAAUAAACCCAGUCCUUAAUCUUUAUACUUAAUCUAAGUUGAAAAGAAGAACUCUAACUGGAGUUCACUUUUUUAGAAACUUUGGAAAACGUUUCGAUUCAAAUGACUUAAUGUUAAUUCUACGUUUAAAGGGAAACUCUAACUGGAGUUGUCUUUUUAUUAUAAGUCUUAAAAAUCCUUUCGAUUCUAAGUAGUUAAGUUGAAAAGCACACUCUAACAGGAGUGGUUUUUUUUAUAAGCUUUAGAGUUAUAGUUUAACUGGUGAAAUCCUUUCAAUUCGCUACGCUUAAGCUCUAUGCGUUUUCGCAAAAACCAGCAGUGGGAUAACAGAUUAAAUUUUUUUAAUCUUUAGUUUAUAAGUAGAAAAUCAGUAAAAAUAAAAAUUUCUGCGUUAGAAAUCCUUCCCUCAUUCGUAACGCCAACGCAUACUCUAACAGGAGUUGCUUAACGGUGUACGGAUUUGGAAAACUCACAACUGGCAAUGCUUUCAUUUAUAACAAAUCCUCAUUUAUUAAGAGGGUUGCCAGUAAUUUCGCAAAAAACGGCAGUGGGAUAAUAGAUUAAAUCUUUUAAACUUUAUUUCAAAAGUAAAAAAAAAUUAUUAAAAAUUUAAUUAUAAAAUUUUCAUCUAAACAUAGAACUCCGCUAGUUUGCGUUAAGCCGUCAAAAAAGGCAUUAUUUUCUAACAUUCCAAAUUUAGUUUAGAGAUUAUUUUGGAAUAACAGAUUAAUUUUUUUUUAAUCUUUAGUCUUCCCUCAUUCGUAACGCAAAGGCAUACUCUAACUGGAGUUGCUUAAAAAAAAUAUAAGGAUGGUUGUCAGUAAUUUCGCAAAAAACGGCAGUGGGAUAAUAGAUUAAAUUUUUUAUAUUUUAGUUCAUAAGUAAAAAAUUAUUAAAAAGUAAUAAGAAACAGAUGAAAUAAAAACGAAAAUCCAUAAGAUUAGGAGAUAUAUUUCAGACUCUAGUAUAUUGUUAGAUUGCCUGAAGUCGUAAAAGAAAGAUAUUAUUUUCUUGCAUUACAAAUUUAGCUUAGAGAUUAUUCUAGAAAAUCAAUUCUCACAACAGCCGGUUGUACGAUACCGGAAUUGACUCGGAUUUUAACCAAUUUAAGUAUUUUAUUCUUUAGGGCUGUUAUUUCGGCAAACUAAACCUGUUUGGUUCGGUCAGUUUUAGAGAUUAUUCUCGCUCCUAUCACUCAAGCAUACUCUAACUGGAGCUGCUGUGCUGUAUUUGUACUUGGGGGCCAUUAUUUAUGCUAAAUAAUAAUAUCUCUCUGCGAAAAAUUUCUAAAAACUGACGAAAUCUCCGAGUUGAUUUCAUAUGCCUGCGUUAUAAUUGGUGAUACUAAUGGCCGGUUGUGAAGUCUAUCAUAAACUUGUUCAGCCAUUAACAUAGUUACAGCCUUGAAACCAAACAUUAAGCAUUCUUUUUUUAACCAAGAAUUUUUGUCCCGUCGGCAUAUCUUCGAAUUCUUGUGUCCAAGAUUAAAUUAUGCUAUGCGUUUGAUUUGUUUCUUUGUUGGUGGAGGUAAAUUCUGAAAUCGUAAAAAGAUAUUAUUUUUCCAUUAUCACAAUACAAAAGUAUACGUUAUUUACAUCGACUAGGGGCCCUAUUAGUUUGUCGAUUUUGUGGUAAUAUUUCAUAAUUAGUAGAGUUCUCCAACUCCACACAAAUAUAUUGAAGACUUCAGCAGCGUAUAUACAUACAAAAGCCAAUAUUUCUUCAAGAUUUAAAACUUUUUCAAUAUUUAAAAUAAAUCUAAGUGACUUUGAAAAAAAAAUAACGGCAAAAAAAUUACAAAAAAAAAAAAAUUAAAAAGAAACUGUAUCUAAGAAAUUAUUUUAUUAAAAAAAUUUCAAAAUUUUAGUUUUUUUGUAUAAUAAUUUAAUAUUAAUAAUAAAAAAAAAUCGAAUAUUUUUGUAUUUAUUUUUGUUUAAUAUGUACUAAUACAUGUAUGUGACUUAAUAAUUAAUUAAUUGGCCUAUGUGAUUUUAAUUAGAACAUUUUUAAUAAGCAAAUUUUCAUUGUUUUAUAGCAAACAUACACUACUUAAUAAUUAAAUUAAAAAAAUAAAUACAUUUUAUUAAAUUUAUUUGUUGUGAUUGUUGCAGCGUUGACUGCAUAUAACAGUACUUACAUUAUUUAUUUAUUUUUGUUUUUUUAUUUUGAAACAAAAAUUAUUUAAAUAAUAUAUAUUUAUUUACAUUUAAUAGUAAAUAAAUAUCAAUUAUAGUUAAUACAUGAUUCCUUGUCCGAACGAUGUACGUAAAAUAAAAUAUUAACACAGAAGAAAACAACAAAAAAAAAACGAAAUAUUGUAAAUUUUUUAGAAUUAAGUAUUUAAGCACAUGCAGUUAGUUAAAGCAAGUUAAUAAUGUAAAAAAUAUAAAGAAAAUGCACAUUUUGCUGAGCAAAGCAACGUCGAAAAUUUAUUAAAAAUCUA